UCCGCAGAGGACGCCGGGAAGCGUAGUCCUGCGUCGUCUGAGAGCUCCGCCGCUACCAGAGUGAAGCCCACCUCUUGGUGACGUCAAUCACCUUUAUUAAUUCCAUUUCUUAUUGUAUAAUCAACCAUUUACAAGAGUGGCGGAGAAAGGCGAGAGGCCCCUGGACGCCGCCGAUGUUCACAUGCCCAAGGUUUCCGUAUUUGGAGAGCUGAGUGGGUGGAAUGCCUGACACAGACGGGAAGAAAAGUGACAUAGAAAAGACGCUUAAUAAAUUCAAAUAUUUAAGUGUCACAGGAGAAAAAGAAACACUAAGAGCAACUACCAGACACAAUUACCAUAUUUCAAUAUAGUAAAAGGCAUCUUUGUGAUAUGGAACAGGAAGCUAUUCUGUAAAGUAAGGCUUUGAACAUAAUCCAGAAUAGCACAGCGUAGGGCAGACAGGUCUGUGCUAUCUGAGCUGGAGGAAAAAGGACUUGGAGACAGCGAUUUAAAUAAGGAACAAGGUCUUCCAGGAAGACAGUGCAGAACUGGACAAAGAGCUCUUGCUCCCCACUGCUAAAGGCAGCCUCUUCAGCACGAUGGAAGGCCAGGAUUAUUUUGGUUACCUAAGAGACAAGGACACCAUCAAUUACUGGGAUAGUCUACCAUCAUCAGCAGUGCACAAGACUAAGCAGAAAUGUGCAGCCCUCAAGUUUCCAUGAAGAAAGUUGCUCUAAACCGUACAUUACUAUCUUGUUUAUAUUUCAGAAUUGUGGUCACUCUUCAUUGAUGUAUUUCUGACCCAGCGUGUUUCAUUACUGGCACAGUUUCCAGUUCCCCUGAAAGAGCAUCAUUAAACUGUAAAGGGAAUACAUAGACCAGAUAGACCAGAACUAGGUUAGAUCCAGGAAAAUUAGGCAAAACCAUAUGACACUUUUACUGAGUGUGGCCUUUGACUAGACAACUGGAAAAUUGUAAAGGACAAAGAAAACUGAGCUGGGAAAGAAUUUCCAUAUGGGAAUAACAAAACAGCCUAGCUGACAUUACAGCCCAGUCUCACAGAGACAGGGUUAAGAACAUACACUCUGGUGCUAGACUUCCUGGCUCAAGUCUUAGUUGUGCUACUUACUGGUUCUGUGACUUCCAAGUGAUUACUUAAGCACUCUGCUCUCUGUGUCUCAGCUUCCCAUCUAUAAAGUAGGGCCGGCAACAGGAUCUACCUCAUGGGGUUGUGAGGAUCAAGUCUUACUCUGUAUGAUGAAUGCUAGCUGGCAUGGAGUAAGUUCUAUAUAAAUAUUUGCUGACUACUAUUACCUGAAUUUCAUUGAGCCUAGAAAGCUUCAAUGCUCAUGCUUUCUUGCUCUUAUAAGAGGACAUCAACAGUAAGAGUUUAUGCAACCAUGUCACAACUACCACCUGGCUGACAGCAAUUAUAAGAUGCCAUCAAUUUAAGAAGCAUCCCAGUAUCUAAAGGUUUAAAUGUGUAAAAGUUGUGCACCAUACUAGGAUAUUAGUAGUAUUAGCAGUAUUUUGUUAAGCAGAAUCGUUAAGAUGGUUCUUGUGAUUCCCACCCCGUAGUAUCCACUCCUUUUUGUAAUCCCCUUCCCUUGAGUGCAGGCAGAACUGGGGCUUGUUUCUAACCAACAUAAUAUAGCAAAGGUGAAGGACUUUCCAGAUGUAAUUAAAGUCCCAACUCAACAGCUGACUUUUAACUAAUCAAAAGGGCUAAUAUCCUGGGUGGGCCUGACUUAAUCAGGUGAGCCUUAUAAAAGAGGACAGAGGACUUUCCUAAAGGAAGAGGCUUAUGCAGGAGAGAUGCUCUCCCGUGGAACCUGAUGAAUCAAAAAGCCGCACUGAACAGCCUAUGGAGUGGUGUGGCCUUUACGAACCUAGGGCCUCAGUGCUACAACUGCAAGGAACAGAAAUCUGCUAACAUGAAUGAGCUUGAAAGCAACUGAGUUCCAGAUGCGACUGCAGCCUGGCCAACACCUUGACUGCAUCUUGUGAGAUCCUAAGCAGGGGACCCAGUUAUGAUGUGCUUGGGAGAUGACAAAUGUAUGUUGUUUUAAGUU